rnacentral:rRNA from 1 species
UACGGAGGGUGCAAGCGUUAUCCGGAUUCACUGGGUUUAAAGGGUGCGUAGGUGGGCUUGUAAGUCAGUGGUGAAAUCUCCGUGCUUAACAUGGAAACUGCCAUUGAUACUAUGGGUCUUGAAUUAUCUGGAGGUCAGCGGAAUAUGUCAUGUAGCGGUGAAAUGCUUAGAUAUGACAUAGAACACCAAUUGCGAAGGCAGCUGGCUACAGGUAUAUUGACACUGAGGCACGAAAGCGUGGGGAGCGAACAGG